AUGAGCCGCCCAGCACAGUUGGGUGAUAAGGUGACAUUGUUGGAUAUGUGCGGCUCCCUUGCCUUGUGCUGCACCACCAAUGACUGUGUCAAUUUAGAUGUUUGGGUGUUGCAGGACUAUGAUGCUGAAACCUGGGGCUUUCAGUACCGGUUUAACUUGUCAGCAAUGGAGGCAUUGCCACCAUUUAAGUUUGACCUCAAUGCUCUCCCUAGGAUGGCUGUGAUCAAUGAGCGUGAGCUGUUGAUCGAGCAGUGUGUUGGCCGUCUGUUGCAUUGUGACAUUGAUGGUGUGUUUUUAGGAUAUGUGCGAGCCAAGGAGCCUGGGAACCACUUUAUGCUAACUAUGCAGCGCCUCCAAGAGAGCAUGAUUUCAGUCCCAUUGUUUGAGGCGCAGGAAGAAGAUGCUGUGAACAAGGAGUCUCCAUUCGUCAUGGUGCUAUAA
rnacentral:rRNA from 1 species